UCUCCAAGCAGAUAGUGCAUAGAAUAAAUGAAAUGAUCGUUCUUAUCUUUUACAUGUUCAUUCUAUUAAUUCUUUGAGUGACUAAUUUGGUUACACUAGUUGUAAAUUGAUAUUUUUUAUGGAACAUAAGAUAUCACUGUCACAAACAAAAUUGAUGCAUACAAGAAUGCAGGAUGUAUCAUUCCAGAUUUGGUGAGACGCAGAGUUAUUGUGGGUCUUCAACCAUUGCAGAGGCUACGGACACCAGAGGUGGGAGGUCAUGUGGUUCUGCUGGCUUCAUUAGGUAGUGAUCUGCAACUCGCGUUGGAGCAGCUCAGUGUCAAGCAGUGGGAAUGAGGAUCGGCACUUCCAAGUCUGAGUCCAUGGUCCUCAGCCGGAAAAGGUGCGUUUUCACGCCUCUUCCACCAUCUGAUCUCCUGUCAGCAUGAUGCGGACUCCCUGACCAGUGACUUCAAUGUGGAGGAGCUGUCAUCCCUUAAUGCGGCUCUUGGACACUGCUGCCUAACCUCAUCUGUCAGCCUACCCAUCACUAUUGCAACCAGAAGGAAGCUCAGAGCUGAUCCCUGAUGUAUUCUUCACAUUGACCUGCACCACACAUCUCACUGUCCUUAUACAUCGCCUGUAUCAUCCUCAAAUACUUCUCUAUACCUCCUGACUUUCUCAGUUCCCCUCUUGGCAGCCUAUCAUAUGCCUUCUCUAGAAGACAAAGACACAGUGUAACUCCUUUUGUUCUUCUCUGUAUUUCCUCUCUCAACACUCAAAGAAAACACUGCAUCUGUAGUAUUCCUACAGCUCUUGACAAGGACCUGCUAAAGAUUCCAUCUGCAGUCAUCCUUGGCAUGCAGUCAUUCUGGUCCCGACCAAUCAUCUCACCUCUCUUUAUCCCAACUUUCAUAACUUUUUCCCAGAGGUUUGUGUUAUGGGCAUUGUCCAUGUCAAAGACACACAUCAGACACCUUCUGUUUUCACAGAUGGACUUUUUGCUUCUACAAAAAGGUGAAUCUGAAAGUUAAACUCAGAAAAAAGACAGAGCCAACUUUAAGCUUGACUGUUUUAUUUUGGUUUUACAGUAUUUGUGAAGAUGAAUUAUCAGAAAUCCACAGCCACAGUAUGUAAAAUUAAAAGGGACUGAGAAAGUAUCAAAGUUCCACAAAAACCUUAAACGGACACCGCAGCAUUAAGAUUUGUAAAGAGCACUUAACCAGCAAAUCUUUCAACUGUUGAAUCUCCUGAUUUGACAUUUGAAGAUGACUGGACCCCGGGCAGUUUAAGAUUAACACUGGCUGUCAUCAUAAUGACACUGAAAAAAUAUCCAGAAACUUUUUUUUUAAUGGUUUAUGUCAGAAAAUGUUCUUAAUAACAACAACAACUGUGUCAUUCCCGCAACUUUCAUAUUUCUCCUUUACUCUGUCAAAUAUCUAUCACUGAUCCAUAAACUACAUUUACUUUGAUAAAAUGUUAAUAAAACAAACUACACAAAAAUCACAAUGUAAACAGUAGUGAUCACCAACCCUUGUGUUGAAA